UCCUGCCCCGGCUGCGCUGGGGGCGAGAACCGAGCUGAGGGUGCAGCCGGGCUUUGGCAUAGGGCUGCCCCCCUCAGCGUCUUUUGGCUAUGGGAACACGUUUGUUGCACACACACACACGCAUACUACUUCAGCCAGCUCCUGGCUGGGUCAGCAAUCCGUGGUGCCUUGCAGCUGGUGAGUCAGGACAUCAGCAGCAGAGGCAGGAGGCUGGAAGCUGUGGAGAUGAUCUGUCAGAUGGCUCCAGGGACUCUUGGAUGGCAAACUACCGUUUGAUAGUUGAGAAUUUAAAAAUACAUGUAUGCAUCUGGAACAACAAGUCCUUUGGAAGAAGUGCAGCCUGGCAGAGUCCUUUUUGACACUGGCACACUGGCUGGUGUGUGCAGGCAGGAAAAUGCAACGUGAGAGCCUCGCCGCAGGAGGACAGAUCUUUCCAGCAAGGUCAGCAUUUCAACCAGUGCCCCACAUCUCCACAGGCUGGAGGAACCUCUUUGGAAUACAG
rnacentral:lncRNA from 1 species